rnacentral:rRNA from 1 species
UACGGGGGGGGGCAAGCGUUGUUCGGAAUUACUGGGCGUAAAGGGCUCGUAGGCGGCCAACUAAGUCAGACGUGAAAUCCCUCGGCUUAACCGGGGAACUGCGUCUGAUACUGGAUGGCUUGAGUUUGGGAGAGGGAUGCGGAAUUCCAGGUGUAGCGGUGAAAUGCGUAGAUAUCUGGAGGAACACCGGUGGCGAAGGCGGCAUCCUGGACCAACACUGACGCUGAGUGAGCGAAAGCCAGGGGAGCAAAACGGGG